UUCAGCCUAUAAGAAAGAAAUUAAUUGGACCAUCGUUGGCAUAAUUCUGUCUCAGGAGAUGAUGUAUAGUUCCCUGAUCUACACUAACUUGAUAAAUGAUUGGCAGUUUUCGCCACAUGUGGGGAGAGAAUAGGAGAGAAUAAGAUCAAGCUUGUAUUUAGCCAGCUCUGUCUGCUUGCGACACACCUCGACUUCACCGCGGAGAAUCUCCAGGCACUGUUCCAGACUUCGGAUGGCUGUAUUACACUGCUUGAUGGCAAAAUCUGAUUGUUUCUAGAAGUACACAGUGAUACACAUAUCACAUAAGUGAUAAAACUUUCACAAACUUUCAUUAAGGUUCAAAUUAUAGGUUAUAUCAUAUAUAAUCAAUAUAAACAAAAUAAAGGAGUCCAGAGUCAAGGUCACAAAA